GUUUUCAUGUGGCCGUGCUCGCCUGAGCACGAAGAAGCUAGCCGCGGGGAUCACUCUCUCCGCCUUCGCCCUCCUCUUCCUCGAGCGUGUGUUCACACUCCUAAAUCUCUGCCCCGACGCGCAGGUUCGGCUCGGUACGCUGAUUGGGAAGCUCAUAGGUAGGAAGCGUAUAGAGAAGCUAGAAGAAUCGUCAUCCACACAGGUCUCUUUUGAAAUCAUCGAAGCGUUGAAGAAUCGAGAGAUUGCGUUGAGGCGGAGGAGAGAGAGGUGCAGACGAUCAGAGACGUGGUGUUCACGAAAGAGAAGAGUAAAAGCGCGAAGCUGAGAUCAAAGAUAGUGAAGAAGAUUUUGCCGAAGAAGCUGAGGAGUUACAAGAAGAAUAGGAAGAUGAAGCUCGAAGAAAAAGAACGAGCGGUAGAGGUAGUAGAAGAAGAAGAAGAGUUGUUGACUGAAGUUUCAAGUUUGUAUUCCGAGGAUAUAAUGGAGAGCAAAGUAUCCGAGGGAGAUGAGAUUGGUUCGAAUCCGCCAUUGUUGGAGAUCUGUGAAGAGAUCGAAGAAGAAGAAUCUAAAGGGGAUCUAACGAAAGCGAUUGUGAUGAUGAUAGUGAUUGCUCUUGCUGGAUUGUUAAGCGGCAAAGUCGUAGCUAUUGGUCUGACUCUCUUCGUGUCUGAUUCUGAGAUUGGUCUGCUGUAAAUCUCAACUAGUCUGA